rnacentral:rRNA from 1 species
CGAGGGGAGUGAAAAAGAACCUGAAACCGUGUACGUACAAGCAGUGGGAGCACCCUUUGGGGUGUGACUGCGUACCUUUUGUAUAAUGGGUCAGCGACUUAUAUUCUGUAGCAAGGUUAACCGAAUAGGGGAGCCGGAGGGAAACCGAGUCUUAAUUGGGCGUUAAGUUGCAGGGUAUAGACCCGAAACCCGGUGAUCUAGCCAUGGGCAGGUUGAAGGUUGGGUAACACUAACUGGAGGACCGAACCGACUAAUGUUGAAAAAUUAGCGGAUGACCUGUGGCUGGGGGUGAAAGGCCAAUCAAACCGGGAGAUAGCUGGUUCUCCCCGAAAGCUAUUUAGGUAGCGCCUCGUGAAUUCAUCUCCGGGGGUAGAGCACUGUUUCGGCUAGGGGGCCAUCCCGGCUUACCAACCCGAUGCAAACUGCGAAUACCGGAGAAUGUUAUCACGGGAGACACACGGCGGGUGCUAACGUCCGUCGUGAAGAGGGAAACAACCCAGACCGCCAGCUAAGGUCCCAAAGUCAUAGUUAAGUGGGAAACGAUGUGGGAAGGCCCAGACAGCCAGGAUGUUGGCUUAGAAGCAGCCAUCAUUUAAAGAAAGCGUAAUAGCUCACUGGUCGAGUCGGCCUGCGCGGAAGAUGUAACGGGGCUAAACUAUGCACCGAAGCUGCGGCAGCGACACUAUGUGUUGUUGGGUAGGGGAGCGUUCUGUAAGCCUGUGAAGGUGUGUCGUGAGGCAUGCUGGAGGUAUCAGAAGUGCGAAUGCUGACAUAAGUAACGAUAAAGCGGGUGAAAAGCCCGCUCGCCGGAAGACCAAGGGUUCCUGUCCAACGUUAAUCGGGGCAGGGUGAGUCGACCCCUAAGGCGAGGCCGAAAGGCGUAGUCGAUGGGAAACGGGUUAAUAUUCCCGUACUUGGUGUUACUGCGAAGGGGGGACGGAGAAGGCUAUGUUGGCCGGGCGACGGUUGUCCCGGUUUAAGCGUGUAGGUGUGUGUUCCAGGUAAAUCCGGUUCACUUUAACACUGAGGCGUGAUGACGAGGCACUACGGUGCUGAAGCAACAAAUGCCCUGCUUCCAGGAAAAGCCUCUAAGCAUCAGGUAACAUCAAAUCGUACCCCAAACCGACACAGGUGGUCAGGUAGAGAAUACCAAGGCGCUUGAGAGAACUCGGGUGAAGGAACUAGGCAAAAUGGUGCCGUAACUUCGGGAGAAGGCACGCUGACACGUAGGUGAAGUGAUUUACUCAUGGAGCUGAAGUCAGUCGAAGAUACCAGCUGGCUGCAACUGUUUAUUAAAAACACAGCACUGUGCAAACACGAAAGUGGACGUAUACGGUGUGACGCCUGCCCGGUGCCGGAAGGUUAAUUGAUGGGGUCAGCGCAAGCGAAGCUCCUGAUCGAAGCCCCGGUAAACGGCGGCCGUAACUAUAACGGUCCUAAGGUAGCGAAAUUCCUUGUCGGGUAAGUUCCGACCUGCACGAAUGGCGUAAUGAUGGCCAGGCUGUCUCCACCCGAGACUCAGUGAAAUUGAACUCGCUGUGAAGAUGCAGUGUACCCGCGGCAAGACGGAAAGACCCCGUGAACCUUUACUAUAGCUUGACACUGAACAUUGAGCCUUGAUGUGUAG